rnacentral:rRNA from 1 species
AGAGUUUGAUCCUGGCUCAGGAUGAACGCUGGCGGCGUGCUUAACACAUGCAAGUCGAACGAAGCAUUUGCGACAGAUUUUUUCGGAAUGAAGUUGCUUAUGACUGAGUGGCGGACGGGUGAGUAACGCGUGGGUAACCUGCCUUGUACUGGGGGAUAGCAGCUGGAAACGGCUGGUAAUACCGCAUAAGCGCACAAUGUUGCAUGACAUGGUGUGAAAAACUCCGGUGGUAUAAGAUGGACCCGCGUCUGAUUAGCUAGUUGGUGAGAUAACAGCCCACCAAGGCGACGAUCAGUAGCCGACCUGAGAGGGUGACCGGCCACAUUGGGACUGAGACACGGCCCAGACUCCUACGGGAGGCAGCAGUGGGGAAUAUUGCACAAUGGAGGAAACUCUGAUGCAGCGACGCCGCGUGAGUGAAGAAGUAAUUCGUUAUGUAAAGCUCUAUCAGCAGGGAAGAUAGUGACGGUACCUGACUAAGAAGCUCCGGCUAAAUACGUGCCAGCAGCCGCGGUAAUACGUAUGGAGCAAGCGUUAUCCGGAUUUACUGGGUGUAAAGGGAGUGUAGGUGGCCAUGCAAGUCAGAAGUGAAAAUCCGGGGCUCAACCCCGGAACUGCUUUUGAAACUGUAAGGCUGGAGUGCAGGAGGGGUGAGUGGAAUUCCUAGUGUAGCGGUGAAAUGCGUAGAUAUUAGGAGGAACACCAGUGGCGAAGGCGGCUCACUGGACUGUAACUGACACUGAGGCUCGAAAGCGUGGGGAGCAAACAGGAUUAGAUACCCUGGCAGUCCACGCCGUAAACGAUGAAUACUAGGUGUCGGGGCCCAUAAGGGCUUCGGUGCCGCAGCAAACGCAAUAAGUAUUCCACCUGGGGAGUACGUUCGCAAGAAUGAAACUCAAAGGAAUUGACGG